CGCCCCUGUAGCAGGCCCCGCCCCUCGAGGGCAGGACUGUAGGGGCUUGUAGUCUUGGGGCCACUGCCGCCGGGGCCUUGGCUGGUUGGGCGGUAGUCGGCAGGAGGACGCAGCUUUGCACUAAAGUCGGGGAGGGCGCCGAAAGCCGGGGUAAAGGAAACAGAAUCUCUGAAAGGUGAUGUGGCUGGCCUAGUCACACAGUUAUCAGAGUCAGGCAGGAUUUGAAUCCACAUCUUCUUGACUCUAGAGACCAGGCUCUGGACAACUGUGCUACAGUCGCCUGUUUGUGGGGCCUCUGCUCCCGACCCCAGCUGUCUGCCUGACUCAGCAACUGUGGGUGGCCUUACUCCCGUGCGUGGGCAGCAGAGCUGGAACAAGAAUGGCGUGUGUGAGAGAAUCCACUAUAAAGUUAUCACCACGACCCCUACCCUUCCCAUUGAGCCGGAGGGACUGGACAAGGAGAAAGGCCACUUCUGGAUAAAAGUCCCUAGGUGUGGCAGUCACAAGAUAACUGAGGUCAAGCAGGAGAAAGCAGAGGCUGUUAUAAGGACUAGAACUCUUCCUCCCAAGUUCUCCUUUGCAAGCAUAUAGGUAAUGAGCUCUCUGUCACUGGAAAUAUGCAAGUGGAACCUGGCCAAUCAUUUGGCAGAGACUGUAAAGGAGCUCUCAAAAUCUGAUGGGAAACUGGGCUGUAUGGCUUCUGAGCAGCAGUUUGUCUAAGGGGUUAAGAACAUGGGCUUAGCUGGCAGUGGCCUCUGGUUUAAACCCCAGCUCUGCCAUUUCCUAGCUCUCUUCCUUCCAUCUUCAGGUAACCACGAUUCUGACUCCUAUCAUCACAGAUUUAUCUUGCCCAUUCUAGAAAUCCAUACAAAUGUCAUCACACUGAACAUUCUCUUGUAUCUGGCUUAUUUCAUUCAACAUUAUGUUCAUGAAUUCCUGAGGGUUUUUUUUUUUUUUUUUUUUUUUUUUCAAAUCUCCCUCCAUCCAGUAGGGGACACUCACCAACAUUUCAUCUUUCAUUAAUUUCUUCCAUCAUUGAGUCACUCAUUCAACAAAUAUUUCUUGAGCCCUUGCUGUGUGGGGAGGGCUGGCCAAACAGAGUAACCCAUGGCAAAGACUGAUGAACUCUGGGUCUCCCAGAAUGUUCUUUGACUCAAAACUAUUUUGGAUACAAAUUACAAUGGUGAGAGCCCUACUCUGAACUACUGCAGUACCAGGUAGUAUCCCCAAUAGACAGAGGCUGCACAGCUCAGGCUCUGGCAUCCAUACACGGGCACUUAGUAGGUGCUUCAUAGAAAGUGGCUACAACUGUUCCCUUGGCACAGAAGCACCGUA